AACACUAAAACACCAGUUCCCGUAAGAUCACCAAAGUUAAGCAACGUCGAACCUGGUCAGUACCUAGAUCGGUGAUCGCUUGAGAAUACC